UCCUAUUUGACCUUCUUUUUCUUCUCUUCUCAAUCUACAGUGGCUCCUGAUUACAUCUGUAGAACUCUUGGCCUCUGAGUGACAUGGUAUAAUAAAGAGACAUGUACCAAAAGUCAGAAAGGCAGAGCUGCUGAAAAUGUUUUGCAAGUUGGUUGGUUGUAAAACAAGUGGCCUCCUCAUCACAGCCCAGAAUACAACACUUUUUGAAGGCAAGUACUAUUCUUAAAAACUAGAAAGUUUAGAAACAGAAAACUUAGAGCUUUAGAAGAAUUCUUUCUUGUGCUAUGAAUUUGAGUCUGACAGCAGCCACUGAUUUGAAAAUAUUCAUAGGGCUUAGGCCAAGCUUAGGAAAUUUAUUUCCACACAUAUAACUAAUAGAGAGGGAAACCUGCUAUCACUUCGAAGUGGUUGAUCCUGCACAUCAGUCCACUGAUAAAGCAAUUUACAUCUGUCGACCCCCCUCCUUCUCAGAGAAGAAACUGGGCUCUCCACUCACUAAGCGGACAAGAAGACCCAGGUUUUGAAAUGUAUUUCACUAGAUUACCUGGUGAAAUGUAUAUUACAUGUUGAUGCUAGAAAGAUUUACAUUCCAUUAUCUCUAACUUACUAACAGGGUGGAUUGUUGGCGAUUCCUCCAGGAGUCCCUUUUCAGAGGCUAGUAUCACAGCCCAGGAAACUGCAGGCACCACGCUUAUCAGGAGAGCUGCUGGUAGGUGGCAAGAAUGUCACUCUUCAGUUAUGGCUUAGAUGUCACCAGAGAAUGCAAAGGAGGAGAAGGAAGAGACCGGUGUGCAGGCAGGUAACAUAAAGGAGCUUGAACAAGCAGAGCAGCCACCCUUCUAAAGUCAGGGGCCUCCCACGGUUUCAAGCAUGGUGCCUCCAUGCAGUGGGUACACCUCUAUUCUCAAGGCCCCUAUUUCAUGAUUUACAUGUACUGCUUUUCAUAAGUUAUUAAGUGUUCUACAAAAGUAAGGAAUUAUCAAUUUAAAAGAUAUUUUGUGGGUGUCCACUCUGCUAUGGAUUAUGGCUGAGCAACAGAGACCAG
rnacentral:lncRNA from 1 species